rnacentral:rRNA from 1 species
UACGGGGGGGGCAAGCGUUGUUCGGAAUUACUGGGCGUAAAGGGCUCGUAGGCGGCCAACUAAGUCAGACGUGAAAUCCCCAGCUUAACCUGGGAACUGCGUCUGAUACUGGAUGGCUUGAAUUCGGGAGAGGGAUGCAGAAUUCCAGGUGCAGCGGUGAAAUGCGUAGAUAUCUGGAGGAAUACCGGUGGCGAAGGCGGCAUCCUGGACCGACAUUGACGCUGAUGAGCGAAAGCUAGGGGAGCAAACGGG